rnacentral:rRNA from 1 species
AUUGAACGCUGGCGGCAGGCCUAACACAUGCAAGUCGAACGAGUGGCGGACGGGUGAGUAAUGUCUGGGAAACUGCCCGAUGGAGGGGGAUAACUACUGGAAACGGUAGCUAAUACCGCGUACCAUCGGAUGUGCCCAGAGGGGAUUAGCUUGUCGUUGAGGUAACGGCUGACCUAGGCGACGAUCCCUAGCUGGUCUGAGAGGAUGACCAGCCACACUGGAACUGCGGCACGGUCCAGACUCCUACGGGAGGCAGCAGUUGGGAAUAUUGCACAAUGGGCGCAAGCCUGAUCCGGCCAUACCGCGUGGGUGAAGAAGGCCUUCGGGUUGUAAAGCCCUUUUGUUGGGAAAGCGGUACCCAAAGAAUAAGCACCGGCUAACUUCGUGCCAGCAGCCGCGGUAAUAUC